CUGCCUGUCACCCAGAGAUCUCGUUAGAAUGCAGAUUCUGAUUCAGUCGCCAAGGGAGGGGUCUGAGACUCUGCAGUUCUGUCAAGCUCCCAGGUGACACAAUA
rnacentral:pre_miRNA from 1 species